rnacentral:pre_miRNA from 1 species
UGGAAAGUUCAUUGUUCGACACCAUGGAUCUCCAGGUGGGUCAGGUUUAGAGAUGCACCAACCUGGAGGACUCCAUGCUGUUGAGCUGUUCACAA